ensembl:lncRNA
CAGAUUUAAGUAUUUUCCCAUGUUAAUAUGCAAUGCUUUUCAGUUUGCAAAAUUCUUUUCUAUUUAUUUUUGCUACUUACAAAAUCUUCAUCAUACAUUGUCUGAGCUUAUUUUCACAGAUGACAAAACUGAGCCUGGGACUGGCUUAUAGUUAACAGCUCUAGGGCUCACAGAGUUGCUGGCCAAAUUGAGAUUUGAAUCCGAUUCUGAAUCUAAAGCACAUGACUUUCAGAUUUCCUGUUUUCUCAUUGAAUACUGCAUCCCUUGCUUUUCAAUAUAGCACAACAGCUGACCAUGGCAGCCAGCUAGGCAGCCGGCAGAGGUUUGUACUGUGAGUAUGUGGUAUGUAUCUGACCUGGUCCAGAGGACCUAUUGCCUUUUGCCACUCUUCUGCAGGCGUAUGUUGCAUCAGGCUUCUGAUUGCAUUCAUUCUGUUCCCUGAACUGAGAGAGAUUUUGUUGUUGAUUAUUAUUCCUUGAUUAUCUUAUCUCUUCUGCCUCUCCUUGCCAGACAAGGUAAAGAUUGCAAUCUUUUCUUCAUAUUAAUCUGACUACAUCCAUAUGUCAGAUAGUGACUACCUUCUUCCCAUGGGCUUUUUAACAAAUAUCACUACUUUCCACCCAAUUUGAGACACUUCCCGCUGUCUGCACUCCUUGGUGAGUAAGAAAUACCAGUCCAAAUCAACAUGGGCUGCAUGGACUCUUGGAAGUUGUCCAUUCCAUCAGAGGUCGGUAAUGAGAUCCAGACAGAGCCGAAUUACUUACAGUUCCUGGAUUCUGCCGCUCUGCUCACGUUGUUGCUGGCAGUACCUUUCCUGUUUUGCUGCCUGGCUACCUCCUGCUCAUUCUUCCUCCCCAAAACCUUUGAAGAUUUUAUUAUUCCAAGAUGGUCCACAAGUUCAGUGUCUUCAAUGUUAACCUGGUAGUCUACAGGAGGUGGUACGUCAUAAAGGAGGUACCCUGUUGACUUCCAUUACCUAGAUGGCCUGGGAGGAGAGCUGGCUUGAAGAGAAG